CCUACGGGAGGCAGUAGUGAGGAAUAUUGGUCAAUGGCCGGAAGGCUGAACCAGCCAUGCCGCGUGAAGGUCAGUGCCCUAUGGGCGUUAAACUUCUUUUGUGCGGGAGCAAUAAUGGUCACGUGUGGCCAGACGAGAGUACCGUACGAAUAAGCAUCGGCUAACUCCGUGCCAGCAGCCGCGGUAAUACGGGGGAUGCAAGCGUUAUCCGGAGUUAUUGGGUUUAAAGGGUGCGUAGGCUGUGAGGUAAGUCAGCGGUGAAAUGCCCCCGCUCAACGGGGUGAAGUGCCAUUGAUACUGCCUUGCUGGAAUGCGGAUGCGGUGGGAGGAAUGUGUGGUGUAGCGGUGACAUGCAUAGAUAUCACACAGAACACCGAUUGCGAAGGCAUCUCACGAAUCCGCGAUUGACGCUGAUGCACGAAAGCGUGGGUAUCAAACAGGAUUAGAUACCCCUGUAGUC
rnacentral:rRNA from 1 species